rnacentral:rRNA from 1 species
CGGCCAGACUCCUACGGGAGGCAGCAGUGGGGAAUAUUGCACAAUGGGGGAAACCCUGAUGCAGCGACGCCGCGUGAGUGAAGAAGUAUCUCGGUACGUAAAGCUCUAUCAGCAGGGAAGAAAAUGACGGUACCUGACUAAGAAGCCCCGGCUAACUACGUGCCAGCAGCCGCGGUAAUGCGUAGGGGGCAAGCGUUAUCCGGAUUUACUGGGUGUAAAGGGAGCGUAGACGGUUACGCAAGUCUGGAGUGAAAGGCGGGGGCCCAACCCCCGGACUGCUUUGGAAACUGUAUAACUGGAGUGCAGGAGAGGUAAGUGGAAUUCCUAGUGUAGCGGUGAAAUGCGUAGAUAUUAGGAGGAACACCAGUGGCGAAGGCGGCUUACUGGACUGUAACUGACACUGAGGUACGAAAGCGUGGGGAGCAAACAGGAUUAGAUACCCGGGUAAA